rnacentral:misc_RNA from 1 species
AAUCUGCCUCGUCGCACAUCAUCACCGGGCCCCCUCUGCUCACCUGUAUCCCUCCCUUUCGGUGCAUGGGACUCGUUCGGCCUGCUUUGCUCGACUUGACGGCACACGGUAUUCGUUGGUGGAUAAUACCCUCAGCCGAAAAAAAAAAAAAAACGAAAUAUUACAAAGCAUCCAUUCGCCUUCUCCCCCUUCCCUUUCCCUCGUUAGCAUCCAGCACACCGCUGUCGGCCCCCCCUCCCCUUUCCUCUCCCACUCGUCGAUAUCAUGGCCAGCCUUGUCAGUUACAUCGUCAACUAUGACGGCUACCCGCUGCAGGCGUACCUGCUCGAGAAUAUUGAUGUGAUCGGCUACAUCGCCUCCAUCUAUCUUGUCAUGGUGGGCAAGGGAGACCGCAUUUUGAGCUGGUGGAACAAGCGUAAGGCGCCGGCUGCCGAUGCCCAGGGGAAGCAAAACGGUGCCAGCAAGGAAACGGUGGCGGCGCUCAAGUCAUGCUACACUGCUGCCUCCACGUACCACCUUGUCGUCUGUAUCGCGUGCGCCCUCGUCUCGUUCAUUCUGGUGCCCGCCAUGGCGCAGUCGGUCCUGGCCAACUCCUUCUUCGCGACCAUGUGCCUUUGGGAUGACGCUCGCAUCUACAAGGGCUACGUCGGCUUCGCCCUCAGCGCCGCUGUGGUGGUGAAAGUAGUGGAGCAGCUCGACACAUUCUUCCUGAUCCUGCGAGACUACAUUGUCGCCUCUCCAGAGCAGGAGAAGAAGCAGGUGCGCCGCGUGCGACCCUCUCACUGGUGGUUCCAGGUACUCAUCGCCCUCUACUUCUGGCACACCUAUAGCAUUGGCACCAGCUGCUUCACGAUGAUCGCCACCUUUACGAUGGCUAUCUCUGCCGCCCGCAACUUCUUCUACAUGCAGCAGGAUUUCGCGCAGGCCCAGGGCAAGACCGCCAUGGCCACCAAGCCGAACCGUGAGAUCUUGGCGCUGGACAUGGCUGAGUGGAUCGGCUGCAGCGCGCUCUCCGUCUACGCCAGCUACAUGAACUACACACACGAGCGCGGGUGCAUGACAAUGCAAGCGAACGUGCGCAUGGCCCUCGUCAUGUACGUGACGGCUGUCGUGCUGCGCUUCCGCGAGCUGGGCAAGGGCACGGAGGCCCCGGUAGCGCGCGAGUCCAAGAAGAACCAGUAGCUCCGCUCGCUCACCCACGCACGGCGACGGUGUGGUCAUGCACCAACGGUGUGCUGCUGCGGCAUCCGAUGUGGACGCGAAGUCGGCUGAUGGACGCUCUACGUGUGUAUGUGCGUGCGUGCGUGCUGCCGUCGUAGCCCCCACCCCCUCUCUUCCCCCUAUCCUUCUUUUUUUUUGAGGAAGGGGAGGCAUUCUUUUCCAUCUCACUGGUGUCAUCGUGCACGCAGACGCACGCGCGCACACAUACGAGGAAGGCCCGAGUCACCACCAAGAAGACAAAACGCACAUGAAAGUCUUUUCUGUCGAGGUAUUUGCGGGCUCUUGUUCCUAUCGCUGUGCGAAUUGUGUGCGAGUACAGUCACCUUCGCCCCCCCCCCUCUCGCUGAGUGCGGGCGUGCGUGUGGUAUCAGAAGAACACUAUAGUUGCGCUCUCGAUGCUCGUCGUCAUCAGCACUACGGCCCUCCCUCCCCCCCCACACACACGACAUCUCCUUCCUUUUACGAGUAUCCUUUCUGUGGAUGCAUCUUACUUCAUCCUCAUCACUUGACUCUCUUGUUUUGUUGUGUGUGUGUGCGUGUGUGCGCCCCCCCCCUCCACACACACACCAGCACACACCGGCCUUGUCGCACACCCUUUUUUUCGCUUUGUUUGCCUUUUUUGGUGUUGUGUUGCUUCUCUGGGUGCGCGUGUCCAUCACAGCCCCUCCCCCUCUCUCCACUCCCCCUCUCCCCCUCCUCUGUAGGAAAGAACAGUGCCUGGCGUAAGCGUCUCUGCAAGACGACAGCGGAAAACAAUAAAAAAGCGAACGAACUCGGGAGUAAAGGCGCCCGCGUACAAGGCACGAAAUCUGUGAAAGAAGGGAGGAGGUUUAGUGGAAGGGGAGAGAGAGAAGAGGGAGGCACCGUCGAGAGACGGGGGUUCAUUGUUGUCGUUUUCUCUUUUCUAUUCACUUGUUUUUUUCUUUUCCUUUCUGUCCAGCACUCCUCUUGUCGGCGUUCUUCGUGCUUGACGGACUCAAACCCCAUAUGCACGCCUGCUGCCACCCCCACUUCCGCCUCCGCCAGCCCCCACCCACCCACCCACACCCUCCCGCCCUCGCCUUGCACGUGUGCCCUUCUGUGGAACUUUGCCGUGGGUGGGGGGCUUUCGUGCGUCUUCUGCUCCCUUCUGCAUUUCUUCUUUAUUUUUUUUUGUCGCAUUUCCCGUUGGCGCUGUCACCGCCAUCAUCACCCUCCCAACCCCUCUCGCCCCCUCUCAGAGGGUAGGACACACCAUUACGGUGACGAUGUGUACAGCAUGGCGCCUCUUCUCUGUCAUUUGUUGGUUGGCCUAGUGGCUGUGUGGCUCUUGCUCGAGCAGAGGUGGUACGCCCCUGUGCUCCCGUUUGGUUGCUUGUCCCACCACACCACAGCACACCACCAAGUCCCACCCCAUCUCCUCACUUGUCUUUUCUUUGCUCAGCCAUUUUUCUUACUUUUUGUUUUCGGUGGGGAGGAGGAGGGGGGAGCUGUGUGCUUGUCCUCGUAUUCGGCAUAAACACAUGUGUAUACACACCCAUCUGUACCUUCCUCUCCAUCACCACACGAAUGUGAUUCUCUAUUAUUCUUUUUUUUUUGGUGGGAAGGGCUGCUGUAUUUUGUGUGCACUUCCUUUCGCUUCUCUCAACGCCGCGCCCUCCUUCUCCCUCUUCGCUUCCCUCCGCUCCUCGGUAAGGGAGGGUGGCAGUGGUGGUGUUGAGACUGUGACGGGGUCGGUGGAUGGAUGGAGAAAAGGCCAUGGCGUGCCCGAUCGUGUGAUGUUCGCUCUUUCUUUAAGACUGGAGCUGUCUCUCCACCCCCUCCCCCAUUCUCUUGCAAGCACGCCGUAUAGGUGUGCAGCAGUCGAAUGGAGUGAAGGUGCCCCGCGGGGGCAUCAUCAUCUCUCCUCUCCGUUCUUCUUUUCGCUGGGCGUCGUUGUGUUCAACCGCUGAGCCAUUUCAUUUCUAUUCGCUCUGCAGCUUGCUCAGUCCUCCCGCCCGCCCGUCCGCUCGUUCACGCCCUCGCGAAACGGCGAAGGCGACGGCACCGGCAGACCUGACAAGCGACUUUGACGAAACAGUGGACGUGAGCGGAGUCUCACAAAGAUGGUGAAGCAGGCGGACGAAUAAAAGGCGCGCGAGCGAGAGAUACCGAAGCCAUCAGCGCAGUCAUGUGUGCUUCCAGUCCACUUCUCGCUCUCUCUCUCUCUGCGCCUUUACGUGUGUGUGUGUGUGUGUGUGUGUGUGUGUGUGUGUGUGUGUGAAGUGGGCGCACACGCACGUACAAUAGACUUCGAAGGUGGGUGCGCAAGCAGCUACUGAUGCUCACCACAACGAACAGGAAAAUAUAGAGAUGUAUGGAUAUAUAUAUAUAUAUAUUGAUAAGCGAAGCGGGCGGGGGAGGCUGUAUCUCUCCCACACACGCACACACACAUGCACCUCAGUCGCUGGCUCUCAGCCAAAGUGAAGCGCGCCGCACUUUUCUACGUUUGUCCUUCGCCAACUCCCCUGUCUCCGCCUCCUUGGCCGUGUAGAGGCACUCGGCUUGCGUAGGCCUCGGAAGAGGAGAGAACCAAGUAUACAUUAAGGACUCAACGACGCUUGAAUUAUGGACAAGGCGCGAGGGGCACCAGUUCUCUGCGUGCGCGUGUGUCGGAGGGUCUAUUGCAUGAUAGGGAGACGAGAAAGCCAAAAAAAAAGGGAUUCAGUGGUACGUUUCUGUUAUCUGUGCUCCUCAGGCGAGGGAAGAUGCAGCGCACCUCUGGCGCCGUCGUCUGUCUGUCUGCGUGCGUGUCUGUGUGUGCGUGUGUGUGUAGUGCUUUCAUAAGCUGACAUGGUUGAGCGAAAGUAUAGAGGGAAACAUGUGAGAAAGCAAGCAGUCGUGUACACGCAUCCGUGCCUGCGCGAGGAGGGGGGUGGGGUCGUGAGGUACGUUUAGCACGCUCCACUCAGCAUUCCCCGCGCGGUGCGUUGCGGCUGCUGCACCUUCGACUGUGCCUCUUCCUUUAACCUACACACAUACACACGCCUCUCUCUCUCGGUGCCAGCACCCUCUCGCACGUCCGUUUAUGUGUGUGCUCGGUGCUGUUUUAUGUGACUUAUUCACUUGAUGUAUUGCCGCUCUGCUCUGAUCGCCUCCUCGCUUGCGGCGCGUGGCCGCACCACGUGCGACGGUCGCUCACAAAAG